UGACUAUGCGUUCUAUUAGCUAGAUGGUGUGGUAACGGCUCACCUAGACUGCGAUAGAUAGGGGCCCUGAGAGGGGGAUCCCCCACACUGGUACUGAGACACGGACCAGACUCCUACGGGAGGCAGCAGUGAGGAAUAUUGGACAAUGGAGGCAACUCUGAUCCAGCCAUGCCGCGUGCAGGAUGACUGCCCUAUGGGUUGUAAACUGCUUUUAUACAGGAAGAAACACUUUCUCGUGAGAAAGCUUGACGGUACUGUAAGAAUAAGGAUCGGCUAACUCCGUGCCAGCAGCCGCGGUAAUACGGAGGAUCCAAGCGUUAUCCGGAAUCAUUGGGUUUAAAGGGUCCGUAGGUGGAUAAUUAAGUCAGAGGUGAAAUCCUGCAGCUUAACUGUAGAAUUGCCUUUGAUACUGGUUAUCUUGAGUUAUUAUGAAGUGAUUAGAAUGUGUAGUGUAGCGGUGAAAUGCAUAGAUAUUACACAGAAUACCAAUUGCGAAGGCAGAUCACUAAUAAUCAACUGACACUGAUGGACGAAAGCGUGGGUAGCGAACAGGAUUAGAUACCCUGGUAGUCCACGCCGUAAACGAUGGUCACUAGCUGUUUGGACUUCGGUCUGAGUGGCUAAGCGAAAGUGAUAAGUGACCCACCUGGGGAGUACGUUCGCAAGAAUGAAACUCAAAGGAAUUGACGGGGGCCCGCACAAGCGGUGGAGCAUGUGGUUUAAUUCGAUGAUACGCGAGGAACCUUACCAGGGCUUAAAUGUUUGGUGACAGAUCUAGAAAUAGAUUUUUCUUCGGACACUAAACAAGGUGCUGCAUGGUUGUCGUCAGCUCGUGCCGUGAGGUGUCAGGUUAAGUCCUAUAACGAGCGCAACCCCUGUUGUUAGUUGCCAGCGAGUAAUGU
rnacentral:rRNA from 1 species